rnacentral:rRNA from 1 species
AAUGUAUAUAGACAUAUAUUAGAGUGUAGAUUUACUCAUUUUGCGCUUCAUUGAAAAGGCAGUGGCGCGAAGCUACCGUGUGCCGGAUUAUGACUGAACACCUCUAUGUCAGAAUCUAAGCUAGCAUGCGACAUUUGUGCCCGCCGCCCACCCUGUGCCCAUGCCAUUGGCUAAGACGGUCCGACCGACGUGUCGCGGCCGGCCGCCUCGAAGCUCCCUUCUCAACGGGCGGUGGGCUGAAUACUUUGCAGACGACUUAAAUAUGUGACGGGGCAUUGUAAAUGGCAGAGUGGCCUUGCUAUCAUGAUUCAUUGAGAUCCAGCCCCAUAUCACACGGAUUC